CCCUCACAGCUUCCCGGUGGCUGUGGCCCUGGGAUCUGCAAAGAUGCCAUGCAGCCGACCCGCCAGAUUGCAGUCAAAAUCGGAGGUGGUGCUGCUACCACCGUAAUUUUGGUUUGGGGGGCCAAAAGAGACAGCUGGAAGAUGGAGACCAGACAGACAGCAAGAAACUGUCUUCCCAGGGAGAUUCGACUGGUUCUCAACUGGGACCCAUCCAUCCUCCCCGCUAGGACCUCAAUGACAGAAGAGUAUAGGGGUCCGGACCACAUGGUGGGCUUGAUCAUUGGCAGAGAUGGUGAGCAGAUAAACAAAAAUCCAGCAGGACUCAAGCUGCGAAGUUCAGAUCUCACCAGAUAGUGGUGGCCUCCCUGAGCGCAGCAUGUCUCUGACUGGAGCACCUGAGUCUGUCCAAAAGGCAAAGAUGAUGGCUGGAUGACAUCGUGUCUCAGGGCCAUGACCCCCCCUCCCCCAGGACAGUUCCACGACAACACCAAUGGGGGGUCAGAAUGGCACGGUACAGGAGAUCAUGAUACCUGCUGGCAAGGCAGGCCUGGUCAUUGGCAAGGGUGGAGAGACCAUCAAGCAGCUGCAGGAGCGGGCAGGGGUGAAGAUGAUUUUAAUUCAGAAUGGCUCCCAGAACACAAAUGUGGACAAGCCACUGAGGAUUAUUGGGGACCCAAAGUACAGCAAGCCUGUGAAAUGGUGAUGGACAUCCUGCAAGAACGUGAUCAAGGUGGCUUUGGGGACCUCAAUGAAUAUGGAUCUGGGGUUGGUGGAGGCACUGAUUGAUGCGCCUGUACCCAGGCAUUCAGUUGGUGUAGUUAUUGGUCGGAGUGGAGAGAUGAUAAAGAAGAUCCAGAAUGAUGCGCAUCCAGUUCGAGCAAGAUGAUGGGACUGGCCCUAAGAAGAUUGCUCCCAUCAUGGGGCCUCCAAAUCGGUGUAAACCCGCAGCCCGGAUCAUCAAUGACCUCCUCCAAAGUCUUCUUCGGAGUGGGCCUCUAGGUCCCCCAGAGGUCCCUGGCAUGCUCCCUGGGGGCAGGGGCCGGGGCGGAGGCCAAGGCAACUGGGCAACUGAGUCAUCUCCUGGAAGGGAGAUGACUUUCUCCAUUCCUCCCCUUAAGUGUGGGCUGGUCAUUGGCAGAGACAGGGAGAAUGUGAAGGCCAUUAACCAGCAGACAGGGACCUUUGUGGAAAUAUCUCGGCAGCUGCAGCCCAACAGGGAUCCCAAUUUCAAGUUGUUUGCGAUCCAGGAAAUCGCCCCAGCAGACUGACCAUGCAAAGCAGCUCAUUGAGGAGAAGAUAGAGGGUCCCCUCUGCCCAGUUGGACCAGGCCCUGGAGGACCAGGCCCUGCUAGACCCAUGGGGCCUUUCAACCCUGGACCCUUCAACCAGGUGCACCCACAUGCUGGUGGUCCCCUCCUCACCAGUACCUGCCUCAGCGAUGGGGCAAUACCUACCCCCAGUGGCAACCACCUGCCCCUCACGACCCAAACAAAGCUGCUGCAGAGGCUACAGACCCUAAUGCUACCUGAGUUAUGUACUAAUCCCACUACUACCAGCAACCCCCAGGUCCUGUGCCAGGCCCUGACCCAGCCCCUGCAGCUCCACCUGCACAGGGGGAGCCCCAACGCCCCCCCCCCUGCCUGCCUCCACCCAUUGGCCAAUCAGACUACACCAAGGCUUGGGAAGAGUAUUACAAAAGAAAGAAAGGGGGAAAAAAGGUCAGCAGCACCCCCACAGCAUGACUACACCAAGGCCUGGAAGGAGUACUAGAAGAAGCAAGCACAGGUGGUCACUGGUAGGGGGUUCUUGGAGCACCCCUGGCUCCCAGCCUGAUUACAGUGCCUCCUGGGCUGAGUAUUAUAAACAGCAGACUGCUUACUAUGCUUACUAUGCUUACUAUGGAUAGACCCUGGUGGCCCACAGCCACCUCCCACCCAGCAGGGACAUCAGCAGGC
rnacentral:lncRNA from 1 species